AAUUCUGAAGCCAUCUAUCUUGGAGUAUGGAAGCCUCUGCCACUGAAUGCAGGUUUUUCAGUGUAAAUCAUGGAGCCAUUGCUACCCCUGAAGGCGAGAGGCUCCCGUAACUGCACUGCCUGAGUCUGGGCCUGCGGCACAGGACCUGGUGCUGUUGGUUUAUGGUAAAGCAGGAAGGUGGUGCCUCGUGCUGGCAGAUGAUGCUGCGGGCCAGGUUCAUUUGUGUCUUCACUCUCGGGAGCAUGGCUAAUACAGCCUUUUAACUCACAGAUUCCCACCUCAAAUGUUUACAUGACACCACUAAAUAAAAAAUAUGUUAAAUCAUCUGCCUCCAGAUUUUCCUCUUGUUUCCAAUUUUCCCUUCCAUGUGACAUAUGCAAGUGCCUCCCAUGUCCCUUUCACAGAUAUUACAGAUGCCCUCAACUAUUUUUUGUGUUCUUCUGGCCUGCUUUUUCUCAUUGCUGCUGCAACAGACUGAGGGCCAAAAAUAGAAACCUCCUUGACAACUUUGCAGAGGACUUACAUUCCUGAUUCCUAAGGUAGCAACACUGACUCUGUUGGAGCAGGAUGGGAAUUUCAUGACCUGUCACAUUUGAUUUUGCCUGAUUUUUACAAGGGAUAAAAGUUUUCCCUGCAUGGUGGUUGAUGCAACUUGCAAUCACCCUUGGAAGUUAGGGUUUGGGACAAAUAGAAGAAUGUCAUCAAACAGAGGAAUGUCACUACUUGUCUUAAGGAUGCUUCCAAAUUCUUGAAAAGGAGACAGAAGUUUAUGGCAGGGCCCAUGACUCAUAUGUGUUUUCAAGCCAGUGCAUAUUAUGAAGACACAAGGCGAGAAUGUGUAUAAACACAUACUCUGCCAUAAUGCUGAUUUCUUUGGAUUAAACUGGGGGAAAAAACAGCAACAGACACUGCCUCAGUCUAGAAUUAUCUGUAAUCCAUAUACAUCAGCACAUGGUUUCCAGUAUUGUGUUACAGCCUCAGUACACAGGUGUGGGGAGGCAGUGAAGUGCAGUGGUUGGUGCCAGGCUAUGGAAUCAGACUGCAAGGUCCUGGUCCCUGGUGUCUCUUGGCAUUCCCUACUGCAGAGAGAGAAUAUUCCUUCCUAGACAUUGAGUCAUUGUG
rnacentral:lncRNA from 1 species